UGUGUGCGAGUGGGUAUGUGCGUAUCAGUAUGUGUUUGUGUAUGAACAUGGGAGCUCAAUGCAGGUUCUGCUUACGCCCCAUCAGAGCUGCCCUGGCAUCUGGCUUUGACCUCAGGAUGGGGCGUGACCUUGGGAGGCCGUGAGCUCUCCCCUCGCGCUAUGGAAGCCCUGGGGACUCAGGGCCGCGUGAGAGGAGCCAUGCCACAGCCGGCGACAGCUCCUGAUGUGUGAGCAAGGCCAGGUGAGACCUCCGCCCAGCCAAGCAGCUGAUGACCGCCACAGAGGUGACCCGGGGAGCUCAGCAGAGGGGCCUGGACAGCAACUCCCUGCACCUGAGACUCGCAGACCCUCGGCAAGCGCAGGUGUUCACCGCCCUGUAGCAGAAGUGACAUGCAGACGCUGGACCCCAGCACACUCACCUGCCAGAGAGGAGGUGAGGGCCCCAUAGGGUGAGGGGUCCAUGGGGACGAGAGGCCUGGUGUGGUUGAGGGUCCUGUGGAGUGGAAUGAGGAGCCAGCCCCUGCCCUUGCCCCAGGCUGAGCAGGACCACCUGGCCAGGGCGCGUGGAGCUCCUGGUGCCAGGCGUUGUCCCCAGGACUUGGUGAGGCUGAGUUGUGCCCCAGACCUGUCUUGUCCUGGCCCCAGCACCCAAGAAGGUGCCCCUGCGUGGGGAAGGGAGCUCGUGCUGGAUGGAGGUGAGACGUGGCCGCAGAGCCUGCGCCUACGUCAGGUUACCGGGCGGGGGAGUGACGGCAGCAAAUGUUCAAACUGCUGAUCAGCUGACCUUAAACAGAGUUACCCGGAUUCUCUGUGGGAGAGAAUUACAAGGGCCCUUGAAUGGGGAGGAGGAGGCAGGAGACGAGGUCGGGAGACGCUGCAGGGAGACUCCGCGGACGCAGCAGCUCUGAAGACGGAGGGAGGGCCUGGCCCAGGCGGGCCACUCCUGGGGCUGACGAGGAGGGUGGCGGGUCCUCCCCAGGCCCCAGCGGAGCUGGCCCCACUCACCCCAUGCCGGGCUUCCGACCUCCAGAGCUACGAGAUGAUAACUCUGCACGGCAUUGCGGUCACUUGCUCCGGAGGCCACAGGAAGCUCUCAUAUGGCAAGGCGUCAGGAGAGAGGGUUCCGUCGGCCUCCACGCCCACCCAGUCCUUGUGCCCAAACCCCUUCCUGAGCCCAUUUCUCCACCCGGGAGGGCUGGGCUGGGCCCGUGGGUCUCACACAGGUGUUGCACUGGGCCCCAGGGGACUGAGCUUGGAAGGUGAGACUGCGGGACGGGGCGGAGCCCAGGAACUCAUGCUUAGGAGGCAGCUGACGUGCCCUGCGACUUGAGGGCUGGCUGCUCCUGGCUCCCACAGACACGCACAGCGAGCUGCCUUUUCCCCGUAGCAGCAGUGAGCAGGCAGGGCUCUCCUUCCUGGUUUGGGUUUCAGCCCUGGUGCUGCUGUGGCACUUUGGAGGGAAGAUGGUUGUGGGGCCAUCCCGUGCACCAUGGGAAAGUUAGAAGGGUGCCUGGUACGGUGGCCGGACUGCACCUCCCGUGGAAGAUACACUCACAUCCUAACUCAGGUGCCUGUGAAAGUGACCUUCUUAGGAAACAGGGUCUUUGCAGGUGUAAACCCGCUGAAGUCAUGCUGGGUGGGCCCUAAAUCCAAUGGCCAGUGUCCCUGCAAGAGGAGACACCGAGAGAGAGAAGGUGUGCGCCUGGGGGCCAGGAACGGGGCAAUGCAGCCACAAGCCAAGGAUGCCUGGAGCCCCCAGGAGCUGAGAGAGGCAGGAAGAAGCCUCCACGGGAGCCUCCAGAGGGAGCAUGGCCCUGAGACACCUGGAUUUCAGGCUUCUGCCCUCGGAAAUGUGAGAGAAAAACCCCGACGUUUUAAGCCCCAGGGACUUUGUGGCAGCAGCCCCGGAAGGUGACAUCCCCACCCCACAGGCAUCGAUGUCCAGACCUGGCAGCCAGAGGCGUGUCCAGGCACCGCCAGGUGUCCCCUGGGAGCAAGAGCACCACCCUUGAGGCCGCUCUGGUCUGACAGGGUCCCCACGGCACCGUGCGGUGCUCCCCUCCCAGGGGAGGCAGGAAGCCAGGACCCCAUAGGACCACAGCCAUCCAGUCCUCCCUGGUGGAGGGCACAGCAGGGGCAGAGCCACAGAAGGGACCCUGAGCCUGCAGGGAAGGCUCAAAAUAGACCAUGAGCAGCUCAGUCCGUGUCUGCAGAGAGACUGUGUCCCUCGACCCAGACGGGACUGAAAUGGACAAACAAAAACGUGAGAAUAAAUACUAGGAGGAGCAGAAAGAGAAUGUUCCAGAGCAGCCUGUCAAAAGUCAGCAACGUGAAGCAGGAGGGAAGGCCCGGGACCGGGAGGACGGGUGUCGUGGGCGGCCUCCAGAUGGAAGAGGGGAGGUGACGGGAAGGUGAAGACGAGGCGGACGCGAACCACGGUGGACAUGAGGAAAGGCCAGAGGCAGCAGCCAGCCCAUCUCAGGCACGUCACCAUGGAAGCAACAGCCAGAGGAGCCACAGAAAGCAGAACUCCCAAAGACACCCACGUACUUCGGGUCUUAGCUCGGAUCUCCUGGAGAUAAGCCCUGCGAAGGAGCUGGGUUGGGAGCAGGUUUAUCGGGGCAUGAUCUUAGGAGGCAGCCAUAGGAGGUGAGGAAGGCAGGGCGUGCAGAGUGCAGCUGACCCAACAGGCCGGGCUGACCCAUGGGACGCCCUGGGCUGAGACGCUGUCAGCGCUGCCCCAGGCUGAGCCCACCUUGGGAGGGGUGUAACUUUGUGCAGGGCGGCUCUCCGCAGCGGAGGGCAGUCCCGGGGGGACACGGCUGGGGACACCAGCAGCAACGUCCCAGCGUACCCAGGAGUAGGGAGGGUCGGGGGGAUCAUCCAGUGCCCAUGACACUCGUGAACACAAAAGCCAACCAGAGAAAACCGAGUCUCCAGCAAAGAGCCGAGCGCUGAGUGUGGAGUGUUCGCUUGUCUGUCCCGUUUCCCACCUCUGUCCCAGGCAGGCCCUCCCUGGUCUUGCCACCACACUGGACCACCGUGUGGACCCUGUGCUCACCCAGGCCUCACCUUUCAGCCCCCCAAGCUGGGCCCAAAGCAGCAGACUGUGUUGUGCAGAUGCUGUGGCUCACGGCCCCCACUCCCUGCUAGGCAGAGGUGCCGGAUAAAAGACAGGAUAACUAAUAAAAUUAGAACAUCAGAUAAACACA